GGGGCGGGGCGUUGGGGUUACAUCAGACUGUAUGCAAAGGAGAAUGCUUGGAAGGGUCGAUAUGCGUGUGCUUUUUAUGAAGAGACGAGAGCAUGGAGAUUAAGUGCUUUACAUAUGUACAGGUGUCGAUGCAGGCAGUGACACACACACACACACACGUAUACAUACACAUGCGCAUACACACACACACACACACACACAUAUAUACAGAUUUUGACCAAUGAAAGCACGCAUGCAAACAUAGUGCCGCACAUAUCUUGCGUCCGCACCCUUACCCUCACCCAGUACCCGACAGCCACACACACUCGAUCGCUGACGGACACUGAGAUCUGGCGGCUGUUUGGUUGACGAGUGCGAAACUGGCUCAGACCUCCAUGCAGAAACACGCACACGGAGUUGAGUGUUAUUGUUGUAAUUACACCAGCAUUGACGACCUCAGUUACAAUGACACGGGCGAGUUACCCAAGCUGCUAACGUGAGGAACGACAGCCGGAUAAGCCACAGAAACAUGGCUGGUCAGUGUGGUCCUCACAAAUACACGGUUUGUCUGUGUGGUCCACACAAAUACACUGUUUGUCAGUGUGGUCCUCACAAAUGCACAGGUCGUCUGUGCGGUCCUCACACUCCACAGUGGGAAUGUCAAACAUGGCAGUGAUGUAAAUUGACUGUAAUCUACUGUAAUUUUUUUUUUUUUUUUUUCCGCACAACCACUGAUCUCAACCAGGUACAUAUGCACUGGAACUGUACUCAAUGGCAAACUACCACAGUGUGUGCAGCAUAUCUGCUAGCAUAGAGGCAUACAUCCAUCAGUCUCAGUCAGGCACACACACACACACACGCACACAAGCACGCGCACACACGCACGCACACCCACAUAUACACCCUCUUUCACUGUAGAGGAAACGCAUUCUUUGUGGUGAAACAGUAGGUGAUGCACACACAGAUACAUAAUUACAUUAACUGGAACUACUUGAGUUAGCACAUACGAAUGGCUCGCGAUGCUUGUCGAUUGUCCAUGGGGUGUAUAUGGGAACUCGGGUUUGAGUGCUUGGCCAACGAACUGCUGCUUUCCAAUUUUAGUCAUUACUGGCCAACUGCUGUGAACGGCAAGAUAACGCAGAUCAAGGCAUGCAGUGUGUGUGUGUGAGUGUGUGUGUGUGCGCAUGCGUCUGAUUGUUUUUAACUAGUUUGCAGUGUAGUUCAGCUAAAUGUUUGCCAUCCCAUGCAAAGCUAUUACAUUGUGCUUUUUGAAGCACAAUAUUUGACAUUUAUUGGAUAAAUACUAAAAUGUUUGGGCAGUGUUGUUUCCAGUAUGACGAAUCAUGUCUCACAGUAAUUGCAGCUAGAGGGCGCUGGUGUUGUAGUUUUACAUUGAUUUCCAUAUCUUUGCUCUUGUCAAGGAAAGAUUAUGUUCUUACCAGUUUAAUGAUUGGCUCUGAUUUGUUUCCGCAGCAACAGUACCCAGGCCAGCAUAAGUUGUGCUACUUGCUCACGUAGGUUGUAGAUUGGCUCGAAGUCGAGGCUAGUCAGAAAGAAGGGGCAUUUUUACAGGGCUUGCUCCUCGUUGUAGCUACAGUUCUGCUUGUAUAUAGGGCCACCAGUUUGUCUCCACCACGCGGCCUGCAGGUUUAAACUUGUAUUUCAAUGGUUGUCCUCCAGGGGUCCCCAUAGGCACUUCAACCGCACAGUCUAGUGACUAGUCAUACAACUGAGUUUCUAAUUGAAGCAUUUAUAAAAACGAUUAGUUGAUCUAGUAUGGGGAGAGUCAGGAAGGGAAGGGAACAUGGAUGGGAGUCUAAAUGCUAUGAAAAGUAGGUCUUUAAAAGACAGUGGUCCUCGCUCCUGGUCAUGGAGAGCCGCAGGGUCUGCCGGCUUUCAUUGUUACUCAGAGCUUGAGUAGCACAGCAAUCGAUCAGUUGAAGCGGUUGGUUACACAGUUAACUCAGGCCACCUAGUUUCUCGGGGCUGAAUUGGUUGCUGAUCUUGAGGAAAAACAAAGACCAGCGGACUCUGUGUCUCUCCAGGACCAGGAUUGAGUAUCGUUCAAUCAGCAGGUGUAAUUGUUUGAGAAGGGGCUUGACAGGUUAUUGUGACCUCUAGCUGGCAGAAGACUGCAGUUCAGUGCGAACAAGCGCGAAUCCGCAAUAGCUGCGACCGCACGCAUCCGUGUGUGCGUGCGUCCACGCACACACCCUCACACAAACACGUGACCUCUUCUUUGGCUCAUGACCAACCUUUCCACAAAAUCUUGUGCCAAUCUGUGAAUCCAUUUGGGAGUUAUGCGCCUUUUUGUGUUAGGCCACGCCCAUCGCCACGCCCCCUCUCGGUCAAUCGGCCUUGAAAGUGACCAACGUCCAUGCCAAAUUUCGGCCUCCUGGGGCGAAAACUGUGAUGGCUACGGAGUGGGACACUUUUUGUGGACCAACCACCAACUAACCGACCGACCGACAGACAGAGCUAUAGAGCUGCGGUCGCAGCUAAAAGGCAAGGGGAGACAAAAUGGUGGCCCUACUUAUACAUACAUUGAUAGUUUAUACGUAUUUCUGUUGUCCAGAUUCUGCAUGAAGUCAGUCAGCAUCGUUCAGCACGUCGAUUUAGCAGUGGACUCUCUCAAACUAGGGUUAACAAGCACAGUGACUCUGCUGACUUCCUCUGUAAUGAGCUGUAAGUCAAACUAUGGAGGUGUUCCAGGGUCAGAACCUGAUGAACAGUAGGAAAGACACCUAUCGGGUGUAAUCCCGACCGCCAUUUUGGCUCAAAAUGACAUUUAGCAUGAGGCGAGUCGGUGGAAACCUUCCAUAAAACAUGGUCACCUGGAGAGUGAGGUGCCCAAUAGGGUGGGUGUGUUGACCUGUGGUUCAUUCAGGUUAGACACUCACACUGUUAGCAUUGGACUUAGUAGGAUGAAAGGAAAGGUUCAGAAGCAGCUGCCUUCCUCCUUUUAACAUCACACAGGAUGAGCAGAGCAGUGGAAUUGGUAAAGACUAGUAUUGCCUCCAAGCUGUUAAUGAUUCAGUGCUAGUUUAAAUUUAAAUAACGACUUGGUGCAAAACUAGAUGUCAAUAGCUUCUGAAGUCACAGUGUUGCGAUAACUCAGUUCAGUUUUUUGUCUUUACUAUCAGAUUGCAUGGUAUUUCUAUUGUGUUUACCUGAAAUGCAGCAGUUUUCGGUUAUGCCAUCGCACUGGUAGAAAUGAAAGGGGACGUCACAGAUGUUACAGUGCAAUGUUGGAGAGUUUGAGGUUACGCUGUCGGACGAUCUCUUGAAGCUGUGGCUUGACUGCACCGUUACGCGGUACAGCGAUGCAGCGCACUGCAGACCAUGCGCGAGCCGGUGCCAUAGAGGGCCGUACGGAACGUUCUCUGUCGUUCCGUAAAGCGUCUUUAAAUCGGAGCUCUAACCGGCAGCACGUUGUCCGAGCACAAAAAGCCCCCGUUCCCUCCCUUUUUAAAACGGAACGCCGGAAGCGGAAGCUUGACUCGACCGCGCCGCUGGAACCUCCGAACGCUCGAUCCGAUCGCCCGAUCUCCGUCACCUCAGCCGCUCUCCUCCUCCGAGAAUCCGGGCGUUUCCGUCAGCGUUCGGAGAGGGGAAAAAAAAAAGAAACGGGUUUACCGAAAGCAGACGUAGGAAAAAAAGAAAGAAAAAAAAAAAGCUAACCGUCCAGCCGUCGAAACGGCGUCUUCCUCUGUUUUAAAAGGCCCCCGUGCCGUGGGUGGGUGAACUUUGCACUGGCAAUUUAGCUCAUGCUCUGAAAACAGUGUCUUUUUUUGUUUGUUUGUUUGUUUGUUUGUUUGUUUUUUUUAAAAUGUGCUUUUAUUUAUUUCAUGUUCUUCGUUUCUCAGAAGGGUUGUAAUGUGAAGGUCCGGGUUUUUGUUGUUGAAAUACCAGCGUUCGGGCGGUGUACGUGUUCAGAUGGGGGGGGUGGGGUAGUUGGGGGGGGGUAGUUGGAGUCGCCCCACGGUGCUGGUCUCCUGACUGACACACGGGUGUAGCACAGCCACCCUCGCGCCCGCUCACGCCCAACUGCCAAAUUAACGGCGCGAGGCGCCGGCCGCGCCGCGUAGCACAACGGUUCUCCCGUUAGCGGCCGCUAAAUACAAACCGCCGCCGCGCAGUCCUCCCCGUUUCUCAGCCGGACAGGAUCCGUACCUGGAAACUCCUGACGGCUCCUCUGAUUGGCUCAUGUCGACAAACGGCCUCCGUAUUUGUUAAAAUGGCGGUCGCCCUGUUUUAGGAGGUGUGCCGUACUUGGGCGCGUGCGGCAGUGCGCUGCGUCGCGUUAGCGUCGCGUCGGCGCUGCUCCGGCCUGCGUCUUCCCGCAGACCGAUCGAAAAGCCGCAUUAACCCCCCGUCGUCUCAAUUGGAGAACUCUUCCACCCUCACACAGGGCCUGCCCCCGGCUCAUUGGACACAGAGAGCGAGGCAGACAUAUCAGAACCUCACCACCGUACACCGAACAGGCUGCACACACACAGAGAGACCGUUACAGCAGGAGAACAGGACAGUGGGCGGAGGCAAUACAACUGUAUCUAAUAAAUUGUACUGUUUAUUUUUUUAAAAGGGCUUUGGAUCAAAGUGACUAACAAUAAUUACAACUAUUUUAAGUCCAUAUAAAUAAUGUAUAGAUGUGUAUAUAUGUAACUGUAUAUAUACAUGCAAAUUAUGUAUACUGAUUUUUUUUUACUGAACCACUUGCAUUGGAUUGUUCUCCUAUGACUUCAUAUUUAUGAAUGUGUUAUUUUCCUUAGAGAAACUGUGGUAGCGGAAUUUUAAAAUACUGAAUUAUUUA